rnacentral:rRNA from 1 species
GAUGAACGCUGGCGGCGUGCCUAAUACAUGCAAGUCGAGCGAACAGACGAGGAGCUUGCUCCUCUGACGUUAGCGGCGGACGGGUGAGUAACACGUGGAUAACCUACCUAUAAGACUGGGAUAACUUCGGGAAACCGGAGCUAAUACCGGAUAAUAUAUUGAACCGCAUGGUUCAAUAGUGAAAGACGGUUUUGCUGUCACUUAUAGAUGGAUCCGCGCCGCAUUAGCUAGUUGGUAAGGUAACGGCUUACCAAGGCAACGAUGCGUAGCCGACCUGAGAGGGUGAUCGGCCACACUGGAACUGAGACGCGGUCCAGACUCCUACGGGAGGCAGCAGAAGGGAAUCUUCCGCAAUGGGCGAAAGCUUGACGGAGCAACGCCGCGUGAGUGAUGAAGGUCUUCGGAUCGUAAAACUCUGUUAUUAGGGAAGAACAAAUGUGUAAGUAACUAUGCACGUCUUGACGGUACCUAAUCAGAAAGCCACGGCUAACUACGUG